GAGCGGAUUGAAGGGAGCUUGCUCCCUGAUAUUAGCGGCGGACGGGUGAGUAACACGUGGGCAACCUGCCCUGCAGAUGGGGAUAACUCCGGGAAACCGGGGCUAAUACCGAAUAAUCAGUUCCUUCGCAUGAAGGAACUCUGAAAGACGGUUUCGGCUGUCACUGCAGGAUGGGCCCGCGGCGCAUUAGCUAGUUGGUGGGGUAAUGGCCUACCAAGGCGACGAUGCGUAGCCGACCUGAGAGGGUGAUCGGCCACACUGGGACUGAGACACGGCCCAGACUCCUACGGGAGGCAGCAGUAGGGAAUCUUCCACAAUGGACGAAAGUCUGAUGGAGCAACGCCGCGUGAGCGAAGAAGGUUUUCGGAUCGUAAAGCUCUGUUGCGAGGGAAGAACAAGUACGGGAGUAACUGCCCGUACCUUGACGGUACCUCGUUAGAAAGCCACGGCUAACUACGUGCCAGCAGCCGCGGUAAUACGUAGGUGGCAAGCGUUGUCCGGAAUUAUUGGGCGUAAAGCGCGCGCAGGCGGUCCUUUAAGUCUGAUGUGAAAGCCCACGGCUCAACCGUGGAGGGUCAUUGGAAACUGGAGGACUUGAGUACAGAAGAGGAAAGCGGAAUUCCACGUGUAGCGGUGAAAUGCGUAGAGAUGUGGAGGAACACCAGUGGCGAAGGCGGCUUUCUGGUCUGUAACUGACGCUGAGGCGCGAAAGCGUGGGGAGCAAACAGGAU
rnacentral:rRNA from 1 species